GUAGGGAAUAUUGCGCAAUGGGGGAAACCCUGACGCAGCGACGCCGCGUGAGUGAUGAAGGCCUUCGGGUCGUAAAGCUCUGUUGCAGGGGAAUAAAAAAAUGAAGGUACCCUGUGAGGAAGGAUCGGCUAACUUCGUGCCAGCAGCCGCGGUAAGACGAGGGAUCCUAGCGUUGCUCGGAAUCAUUGGGCGUAAAGAGGGCGUAGGUGGCUUGGUAAGUCAGGUGUGAAAGCCCAGGGCUCAACCCUGGAAGUGAAUUUGAUACUGCUGAGCUUGAAUGUCGGAGAGGUUACCGGAAUACCUGGUGUAGUGGUGAAAUACGUAGAUAUCAGGUGGAACACCGGAGGCGAAGGCGGGUAACUGGACGAACACUGACACUGAGGCCCGAAAGCGUGGGGAUCAAACAGGAUUAGAAACCCCAGUAGUCC
rnacentral:rRNA from 1 species